AGUUCCGGAAACAUCCCCAUUGAUUAAGUGUGUAAGAGGAUGCUUGCGAGUAUCAGGGGAGUAGCAAGGCUCCGAUGGGACUUGCGCGGGACAAAGGGCAUCCCAGACUUCUAGAGUUCUCCUUGUCUCCUGACCUGUUUAAGAAAUGGAAUUCCGACAGUAGGGGAUUACUGACUGCAGUGGCCUCUGCUUCCACCCUGGCCCCUUCCCAUCCUUUUUCCCAUGGGGCAGCCCAUCAUCUUGCUAACAUGCCAGCUUGAUCUCAUCUGUGGAUUCAUCAAACACCAACAGACAGCCAAUCAAAUACUCAACAUGUAUUCCCUUAUUUAAUUCUGGAAACUCUGUGAGGAGGUCAGCACCGUUUUCUGAUUCUAAGAGAGGGAAGUGGAAGCCCAGGGGCACAGUGCAACCACGAGGCAGCCGGGGGGCCCCCACCCCCUGAGCUGGGCAGCCUGCCGUGCACUGGGGACCCUGGUUGGUGUUCACAUCUGGCCUAUCAAGAUAUGCCCUUUCAGGAAAAUUCUGAAAAUCAGUGUUAGAUGAUAUUCAAAUAUCGCCAGCCUAUCUUCCACCAGCACACAAUGGGAGCAUGCUGUGUUCACUUCGUGGUUUGAAAUCUGCAUAGAGGAAUGGCCAGAAUGCAGGGCAGCUUCUGAAGCGAGAGAAGCAGGAUUCAUCACAAACUCAGGACAAACAAACCUUGGGGAUGUGUAGAGUUGGGGGACCCAGACUCUCCCUGGUCCCUGGCUGCGGCCCGAUUUCCUCCCUCUCCUGACUUACCCUGGAGGAUUUCCUCUGGUUGGGAUGAAAGCAUUUCUGAGCCUUUUGGUAUUUGUUCAAAUUCAGCCAGGCAUUAUUGACAUUUUCCUGGAAAUCGCACAAUAUUCUUUCAUUUGGUUUAUCACUGGGAUGUAUUUCAUAUGAGACAACUCACUGUGGUUUUUUUGUUGUUGUUGUUUUAAAUUUCUAUGUCUUCCCCCACCCUCCAAAUUCAGGUGAAUAAAUGUGAAAUGAAAAGAAGCAAGAAGGGACACCUGGGUGGCUCCGUGGGUUAGAGACUCUGCCUUAGGCUCAGGUCAUGAUCCCAGGGUCCUGGGAUGGGGCCUUGCAUUGGGCUCUCUGCUCAGCAGGGAGCCUGCUUCCUCCUCUCUCUCUGCCUGCCUCUCUGCCUACUUGUGAUCUCUGUCUGUCAAAUGAAUAAAUAAAAUCUUAAAAGAAAAGAA